rnacentral:rRNA from 1 species
CCUACGGGGGGCAGCAGUGGGGAAUAUUGGACAAUGGGGGCAACCCUGAUCCAGCCAUGCAGCGUGUGUGAAGAAGGCCCUCGGGUUGUAAAGCACUUUCAGUGAGGAAGAACGCCUGGUGGUUAAUACCCAUCAGGAAAGACAUCACUCACAGAAGAAGCACCGGCUAACUCCGUGCCAGCAGCCGCGGUAAUACGGAGGGUGCGAGCGUUAAUCGGAAUUACUGGGCGUAAAGCGCGCGUAGGUGGCUUGAUAAGCCGGUUGUGAAAGCCCCGGGCUCAACCUGGGAACGGCAUCCGGAACUGUCAAGCUAGAGUGCAGGAGAGGAAGGUAGAAUUCCCGGUGUAGCGGUGAAAUGCGUAGAGAUCGGGAGGAAUACCAGUGGCGAAGGCGGCCUUCUGGACUGACACUGACACUGAGGUGCGAAAGCGUGGGUAGCAAACAGGAUUAGAUACCCGAGUAGUC